AGAGUCCUCAGAACAAUACUACCAAGUGUGGCAUCUCUUUCCUCCCUGCAAGCCAAUGGCCUUUAGAAUGCACCAAUCGCAAUGAAAGACAGAGGACUCACUCUCACAAUGAGUGACCACACCAACCAGCAGGCAAGCCAGCCUCCACAUUCAUCAUCAUCUAUUAAGCCUGGAUAGAUUUCAUGUCAAGGAGAAAGGAAGCUGUACUUCUAGAAGUAACCAUAAUGGAUAUAGUGCUUUCUUCCAGGAUUAUAUAUCACUAUUGAGGUCUGCAGCUGUGGUUUCAUUUCAAGAUAAAUGAAUCCUGUGUAAGGAUCAUUGUUUAAAAAAAAAAAAAAGGAAGGAGAGAGGAGAGAAGACUCAUGAAGCCACCGCUGCAGCUAUGCCAGCAGGCAUGAACAUCUUGGACUUUUUGCAAAAUACCUUUUUAUCUUGAAUUGAAAAUGCAGCUUUUAUGUAGAUACAGAAUUGCUAUAAGAAAGGCAUAUCUAUAAACUCUAAUAUGAUUCAAGAAAAAGCAAAGUCAUGGUAUGACAACUUAAUAAAGGAAGGUGAAGGAUCUAAAGCUAAAAAAGGAAGGAGAGGAGAGGAGAGAAGAAUCAUGAAGCCACUGCUGCAGCUAUGCCAGCAGGCAUGAACAUCUUGGACUUUUUGCAAAAUACCUUUUUAUCUUGAAUUGAAAAUGCAGCUUUUAUGUAGAUACAGAAUUGCUAUAAGAAAGGCAUAUUUAUAAACUCUAAUAUGAUUCAAGAAAAAGCAAAGUCAUGGUAUGACAACUUAAUAAAGGAAGGUGAAGGAUCUAAAGCUGAAGAAAUUAAUACCAGCAAAGGAUGGUUUGAUAAUUUUAGGAAGAGAUUUGUUUUAAAAAUAUGAAGAUAACAAGAAAAGCUGUAUCUGCCAAACAAGAAGCAGCAGACGAUUUCCCAGACACCAUUAAGAAAAUCACUGAGAAAAAAUGGAUAUCUACCUGAACAGGUUUUUAAUGCAGACAAAAGUGCUCUAUUCUGGAGGGUGCAGGGAAUCCACAAAGGACAUUUCUUGGUAAUGAAGAUAAGCAAGCUCUAGGAUACAAGGAAGGAAGGGAUAGGUUACCCCUACUGUUUUGCACAAAUGCAAUUGGAUUUAUGAUUAGGACUGCCCUUUUUAUACAGCUGCUAACUCCCAAGCCUUGAAGGGAAAAGGUAAACAGCAGCUGCCAGUCUUUUGGCUGUACAAGAAGAAGAGCUGGAUAAUGAGAACCCUUUUUCUGGAUUGAUUCCAUCAGUGACUUUGUCCCUGAAGUUAGGAAGUACCUCAUCAAUAAGGGACUGCCUUUUUAAAGUUCUUUUAAUACCGGACAAUGCUCCGGCCACCUAGAACCCCAUAGUUCAACAAUGAACACAUUGAAGCAGUCUACUCACCCCCAAACACAAUGUCCCUAAUUCAGCCUUUAGGUCAGGGGGUCCUAAGGAUUUUUCAGACUCAUUAUGCAUGGUACUUUAGGGAAGGGGUUAUCAACACUAUGGAAGAGAGCUCAAAUAGAGAAACAUCAUGAAAGCCUGGAAGGAUCAUACCAUUGGAGAUACCGUCAUUAUUAUAGAAAAUGCCCUGAAAGCCAUCGAUCCAGAAACCAUAAAUUCCUGCCAGAGGAAACUGUGUCCAGAUGUUGUGCAUAACUUCACAGGAAUUAUGACAGAGUCUAUCAAGGAAAUUAUUUAAAAGAUUGUGGAUAUUGGGGAAAAAAGUCAGGAUGAAGGGUUUCUGAAAUGGAUCUUGGAAAAAUUCAAGAGCUAAUGGACCGCCAGAGUAGAGAAAUUAACAGAAGAUGACUUGAUGGAGACGACUGCUUCUGAUUCCAUGCCAGACAGUCGUCAGUUUGGCAGAAGGGUUCCAAUUAUCCAAGAUUCCUUUUGACUUCUUUUACGACAUAGGCCCCUCUAUGAGACAGGAGGCCCAUGAAAACAAAGCAAAUGGUGAAAGAAGGAUUGGUACUUAUAGAAACAUUUUUAGAGAAAUGAAAAAGCAAAAAGUUAUACAGAAAUUACAAUGUAUUUUCAUAAAGUUGCACUAAAUGUGCCUGCCUCUCCUGCCUUCUUUUCCGCUUCUUCCACCUCUCCAUCUCUGCCAGCCAUAAGACAGCAAGAUCAGCCCCUCCUCAUUCUCCUCCCCCUCAGCCUACUCAAUGUGAAGACACCAGGAUGAAGACCUUUAUGAUGAUCCACUUCCACUUAAUGAAGAGCAAGAUUCCCAGAGACUCAGAGAGGGUACUUGAAUUUUUCAAGCACAUGCAGUUUCCAACUGUCAGAGGCAGGAUUUCAACCCACAGCUAUCAGAUUUCAAGCUGCCAUUAAACAUGCCUCGGAUAUCCCUUCUGAGAGGAGAGUAGGCACAAAAUACAACUAACCAG